CCAGGAGGCAGGGCUUGCUGCAGUGGUCGCCCCUCCUUCCCAUCAGCUAGCUGGGCAGGCUGCUUGGAGAGGAAGCCCCAGCCGGCAGGAUCUCAUCUGGCCGCCGCGUUCUGAAAGAGGCCAGGGAUAGAGCGCGCGCGCGAGGAGAACAGAGACGGCGGGGAAAAGGGAGAAGGCGAGACGCGCAGCGCCGGCGCCCGGGAGACCCAGGAGGACCCCGCAGGUAUUGUUGGCGGCAGAGCUUUGUGUCCUCGGCCGGCGUUCCUGGCGCGAGGGCUCCCCGAGUCCCGGCCCGCCGAGGCACUCAGACCUGCCCAGAGCCCGGGGCUGCCAGUGGGGGUCGCCGCCUGCCGUGGGUACCCCUCCCGCGGCGCUGCGAUCUCGGAUGGAGUUGCAGAUUUGCCUGAUUUGGGUUUUUCAUGUCAGUGGAGGGAAUUGGUCUCAGAAGAAAUUUCUUUCUUUGCUUUUUUCCCCCUCUGACCGCAGUUUGGUUGUGCCGGGGAUUCCUCCCUCCCCUUUCCUCCACAAUGCUUUGGUGAGUGGUGUUGGCGACAGUGACGCUGGCGGCAGGCUUGGGGCUGAGAUGGCGGGGCUGUUGCCCGCGGCCCGGGAGGUGAGGGAUGCCAAAGGAAGGAGUUCUGUCUCAAGUUCGCCAUUUGCGCCUGGAGCUAGUCCGGACGGGGUGGGCGGUCCGUGCACCCAGUCCUCCUCUGGACAACUGGUGGGAAACUUCCUGGGAGGGCCGCCUCCCGGCGGACUCGGUGCCCCGACGCCUCCAGGCGCAGCCUCGGGCCGCGAGUGGCCCCUCCUUGCCGCCCUCGAGCGCUUAAGGUCGCUCUCUCCCCACCCCCGCCUUCCUCCCUCCGCU
rnacentral:lncRNA from 1 species